rnacentral:rRNA from 1 species
CCUACGGGAGGCAGCAGUGGGGAAUAUUGCACAAUGGGCGAAAGCCUGAUGCAGCGACGCCGCGUGAGGGAUGACGGCCUUCGGGUUGUAAACCUCUUUCAGUAGGGAAGAAGCGAAAGUGACGGUACCUGCAGAAGAAGCGCCGGCUAACUACGUGCCAGCAGCCGCGGUAAUACGUAGGGCGCAAGCGUUAUCCGGAAUUAUUGGGCGUAAAGAGCUCGUAGGCGGUUUGUCGCGUCUGCCGUGAAAGUCCGGGGCUCAACUCCGGAUCUGCGGUGGGUACGGGCAGACUAGAGUGAUGUAGGGGAGACUGGAAUUCCUGGUGUAGCGGUGAAAUGCGCAGAUAUCAGGAGGAACACCGAUGGCGAAGGCAGGUCUCUGGGCAUUAACUGACGCUGAGGAGCGAAAGCAUGGGGAGCGAACAGGAUUAGAUACCCUGGUAGUCCAUGCCGUAAACGUUGGGCACUAGGUGUGGGGGACAUUCCACGUUUUCCGCGCCGUAGCUAACGCAUUAAGUGCCCCGCCUGGGGNGACGCGCGAGACAACUAACUAGAUAGAGCGUGAGAGNGCGACGCGACGACGAGGGAGUUAGG